GAUGAACGCUGGCGGCGUGCCUAAUACAUGCAAGUCGAGCGAACAGAUGAGGAGCUUGCUCCUCUGACGUUAGCGGCGGACGGGUGAGUAACACGUGGAUAACCUACCUAUAAGACUGGGAUAACUUCGGGAAACCGGAGCUAAUACCGGAUAAUAUAUUGAACCGCAUGGUUCAAUAGUGAAAGACGGUUUUGCUGUCACUUAUAGAUGGAUCCGCGCCGCAUUAGCUAGUUGGUAAGGUAACGGCUUACCAAGGCAACGAUGCGUAGCCGACCUGAGAGGGUGAUCGGCCACACUGGAACUGAGACAGGGUCCAGACUCCUACGGGAGGCAGCAGUAGGGAAUGUUCCGCAAUGGGCGAAAGCAUGACGGAGCAACGCCGCGUGAGUGAUGAAGAUCUUCGGAUCGUAAAACUCUGUUAUUAGGGACGAACAAAUGUGUAAGUAACUAUGCACGUCUUGACGGUACCUAAUCAGAAAGCCACGGCUAACUACGUG
rnacentral:rRNA from 1 species